rnacentral:rRNA from 1 species
UACAGUUGCAUGCCCAAGACCCGAAGCGGAGUGAUCUAGCCAUGGGCAGGUUGAAGCGCGGGUAAGACCGUGUGGAGGACCGAACCCACCAGGGUUGAAAACCUGGGGGAUGACCUGUGGUUAGGGGUGAAAGGCCAAUCAAACUCCGUGAUAGCUGGUUCUCCCCGAAAUGCAUUUAGGUGCAGCGUCACGUGUUUCUUGCCGGAGGUAGAGCACUGGAUAGGCGAUGGGCCUUACCGGGUUACUGACCUUAGCCAAACUCCGAAUGCCGGUAAGUGAGAGCGUGGCAGUGAGACUGUGGGGGAUAAGCUCCAUGGUCGAGAGGGAAACAGCCCAGAACACCGACUAAGGUCCCUAAGCGUGUGCUAAGUGGGAAAGGAUGUGGAGUCGCAGAGACAACCAGGAGGUUGGCUUAGAAGCAGCCACCCUUGAAAGAGUGCGUAAUAGCUCACUGGUCAAGUGAUUCCGCGCCGACAAUGUAGCGGGGCUCAAGCACAUCACCGAAGUCGUGUCAUUGCAGCAUAUAGGGCCAACGCCUGCUGUGAUGGGUAGGGGAGCGUCGUGUGCCGGGUGAAGCGGCGGUGGAAACCAGUCGUGGACGGUAUACGAGUGAGAAUGCAGGCAUGAGUAGCGAUACAAGAGUGGGAAACUCUUGCGCCGAUUGACCAAGGGUUCCUGGGUCAAGCUGAUCUGCCCAGGGUAAGUCGGGACCUAAGGCGAGGCCGACAGGCGUAGUCGAUGGACAACGGGUUGAUAUUCCCGUACCCGCUUUGAAGCGCCAACGUCGAACCAGAUGAUGCUAAGGCCGUGAAGCCGUCCCGGAGCCUUCGGGCAAAGGGAAGUGGUGGAGCCGCCGGUCCAAGUCUGUAGUAGGUGAGCGAUGGGGUGACGCAGGAAGGUAGUCCAGCCCGGGCGGUGGUAGUCCCGGGGUAAGGGUGUAGGCCGAGUGAUAGGCAAAUCCGUCACUCAUUGAGGCUGAGACCUGAUGCCGAGCCGAUUGUGGUGAAGUGGAUGAUCCUAUGCUGUCGAGAAAAGCCUCUAGCGAGUUUCAUGGCGGCCCGUACCCCAAACCGACUCAGGUGGUCAGGUAGAGAAUACCGAGGCGUUCGGGUGAACUAUGGUUAAGGAACUCGGCAAAAUGCCCCCGUAACUUCGGGAGAAGGGGGGCCAUUCCUGGUGACGAGUCUUGCACUCUGAGCUGGGGGUGGCCGCAGAGACCAGCGAGAAGCGACUGUUUACUAAAAACACAGGUCCGUGCGAAGCCGUAAGGCGAUGUAUACGGACUGACGCCUGCCCGGUGCUGGAACGUUAAGGGGACCGGUUAGCUCCACUUCGGUGGGGCGAAGCUGAGAACUUAAGCGCCAGUAAACGGCGGUGGUAACUAUAACCAUCCUAAGGUAGCGAAAUUCCUUGUCGGGUAAGUUCCGACCUGCACGAAUGGCGUAACGACUUCUCGACUGUCUCAACCAUAGGCCCGGUGAAAUUGCAUUACGAGUAAAGAUGCUCGUUUCGCGCAGCAGGACGGAAAGACCCCGGGACCUUUACUAUAGCUUGAUAUUGGUGUUCGGUUCGGCUUGUGUAGGAUAGGUGGGAGACUUUGAAGCAGCAACGCCAGUUGUUGUGGAGUCGCCGUUGAAAUACCACUCUGGUCGUGCUGGAUGUCUAACCUGGGUCCGUGAUCCGGAUCAGGGACAGUGUCUGGUGGGUAGUUUAACUGGGGCGGUUGCCUCCUAAAGAGUAACGGAGGCGCCCAAAGGUUCCCUCAGCCUGGUUGGCAAUCAGGUGUUGAGUGUAAGUGCACAAGGGAGCUUGACUGUGAGACUGACGGGUCGAGCAGGUACGAAAGUAGGGACUAGUGAUCCGGCGGUGGCUUGUGGAAGCGCCGUCGCUCAACGGAUAAAAGGUACCCCGGGGAUAACAGGCUGAUCUUCCCCAAGAGUCCAUAUCGACGGGAUGGUUUGGCACCUCGAUGUCGGCUCGUCGCAUCCUGGGGCUGGAGUAGGUCCCAAGGGUUGGGCUGUUCGCCCAUUAAAGCGGUACGCGAGCUGGGUUUAGAACGUCGUGAGACAGUUCGGUCCCUAUCCGCUGUGCGCGUAGGAGUGUUGAGAAGGGCUGUCCCUAGUACGAGAGGACCGGGACGGACGAACCUCUGGUGUGCCAGUUGUCCUGCCAAGGGCAUGGCUGGUUGGCUACGUUCGGGAGGGAUAACCGCUGAAAGCAUCUAAGCGGGAAGCCUGCUUCGAGAUGAGCACUCCCACCUCCUUGAGAGGGUAAGGCUCCCAGUAGACGACUGGGUUGAUAGGCCGGAUAUGGAAGCCCUGUGAGGGGUGGAGUUGACCGGUACUAAUAGGCCGAGGGCUUGUCCUCAG